rnacentral:lncRNA from 1 species
ACUCCCUGCAGCUCCAGGUCCUGUCCUUUCUCACAGGGCUGCACGGGUCACCUCAGGCUUGGGUGACCUCCUCCCAGAACUUGGCUCCUCCAAGCUGGCUCAUCUCAAGAGCAUCAGCAAAGAUAGCUAUUCAACCUUUUGACUUCGGUGUGAACAAGCUUUGGCACCAUACAAAUGAAGGAUACAAGUGGAGUAAACUCUCAUCCCUCCUAAAUCCGCUGUUCUUCUUCAUAACUCCUGCAUUAACGUGGCCUCCCUGUCCCUAUCCCCUGCUACUGGC